rnacentral:lncRNA from 1 species
UUUGGACCUUCCAAUAUCCAAAGUCCAGGCUCAAGUCCAACUUAUAGAAAAACCCUUCAUUUAUAUCGUAUUUCCUGUGAUUUUGCAGUAUGGUCCAAAACAAAACACAUAUGUGAACAUGCGGUUAUUUCAGGUGCCAAGUGGCGGGUUAGUAUGAGAUUUAGUCCAAAAACACCACUUAAAUGGCACUAAAAAGGUGGCAAUAAUGAGCGCCAACAGCUUCGAGCUUGGCAUCCCGCUCCCAUCACAGCAGGCCGCAUACUUGCUCUCUCGCCGACCCGCUCUGGGCCCAGGACACCACUCCCUUGCUGCCUCGCUCCGGCUCCGGAGCACCACUCCCUCGCCACCCACCUCUGCUUCAGUCCCAGCGCGCCGCUCCCUCGCUGCCCUGCUGCACCGUGGUGAGUGGCAUUUUGGCCGCGAUAUUUGUAAACUCGAGUGGGCAGUUGGUCCUUGUGCAUGCGGGGAGCUACCUUUUUCUACUCCACCUCCCGUGUGAUGGCUCCACUGUCAAAGAGGAAGCUUAUUGCCUUGUCAGCCUUCUAUCUUAGCUUACAUAAUUACAUUCUUCAAGGUACUUGUCAGGUUU